UACGGAGGGUGCAAGCGUUAAUCGGAAUUACUGGGCGUAAAGCGCACGCAGGUGGCUGAGUCAGUCGAUUGUGAAAGCCCUGGGCUUAACCUGGGAAUUGCAGUCGAUACUACUCGGCUCGAGUAUGGGAGAGGGCAGUGGAAUUCCCGGUGUAGUGGUGAAAUGCGUAGAUAUCGGGAGGAACACCAGUGGCGAAGGCGACUACCUGGCCUGUUCUUGACGCUGAGGCGCGAAAGCUAGGGGAGCAAACGGG
rnacentral:rRNA from 1 species